CCCCCCCCCCCCCCCCCCCCAAAAAAAAAAAAAGACUAUCACGCUGCAAUUUCAAUUCCGUUCUUGUACUUCUUGGACACCGUUUGUAGAUGAGCUGUAACGUUUUUAGCGCACAAAAUGAAAAAAAAAUAGAGCUAUGUUAUUUCAAAAACUAGAUAUGGUUGGGUAAAAUUAACUACUUAAGAAAUAGCAAAUAGGUACUUGUUAGUAAACUGGGGUUAACAUGGCCAAUUUCCCGCAAUUAUCAACAUCUUCUCGCCGCAAAACCCGAACUGUCAAUAGCCCUAAAUUAUUGUUCGGCAAAAUCAAAGAACAGAAAAUAGAAAGUGAAAUGAAUCAUUUGUAAUCCAGCACAGCCCCGACAAAUCAAACGCGCCGGCCUCUCUAGAAGCCGGUUGCAAAUAUAUCAAUGAUCCCUCUUAGAUGCCGCGUGUGCUCGUACGCGGGGCUAACAUUGCCGACACACACAGAGUGUGGCAUUGGAUAUAGUAAUUUUUUUAGACUAUCACACCAAAGAUGGUUUGAAAUGUCUAGUUCGAAAGACUAUCAAAUCGAGUUCCUUGGCCUUUAUGAAAAUAAGGAUCCAAAGAUGGUUAGGGAUGUCUAGUUUCAAAAGAAUCCAGAAAUCCGUUCCCUGAGCAUGAUUGCACAAGGAGAUAAAUGUUUAAACAUCUUUUCGUCUAAAAGGGCAUGAUCGCCUUAUCUCAUUCCUCAUACAUGGUGAGAAAAAACAAACAGUUAAAAACUGGUUGCCUUUUUGGGUGUGAUGGUGUUUACUAACAAAAAUGACUAUAUAUUUUAAAGUUUUUUUUAUCUUUUUGGUAAAUCGCUUAUGAAUCGAAUCCCGGACUGGAAAUGGUGUGACCCCAACCAGCCACGGUCAUAGAAUGAUUACAUAACGUGAUAUUGGCCUUUAAAAGAGAGACCAAAUACUACACGUGGCUUGAUACACGUGAUUUACGGUCUCACACACUCUACUAAAUUAGCUUUCAAGUGGGAUCAUCUCGAGAUCUAUUCCAAGAUGGAAAGCUCGAGAUUACAGUUGACCUUUCAGAGAGCCUUGUCGACACAGUCUUGAAACAGCCAUAUCCACUUGUGAACACUGAGUAUGCCAACGCAACUCAAGAGAGUUCGCGAACUUUCCAGGAACGACAGUGGAUGACAAAUAACACGGUCUGUAGGACGUUCGAUCAAAACUAAAAUUGGCUCUCGCACAGUCUACAGAACGUUCGAUCAAGCUGAGCCCCUUACUUAACUCAAAGUAAUAAGAACUUUUUAAAACUAUGUUAGGAUGAGGAACAGCAAAAUCACUCGAGAAAUUGAUAAAGAGGACCCACUUGAACUCACCGAAAGAUUUGCACAGCUAAGGUGAAAUACCCCAUCGAGUAUGAGAACGCUCGAUAUCUCCUUAGACCACCAGAUAGUAGCCCAAUGUUCUCAGGUUUCUUGGAACAAAAGUAACAAACGAAAAUGUGACGGAAGAGCGCCUCCCUUGCUUGCCUUCGGUACAGAUAUUCUGGAACAAAUAGUCUAACCCUGCUCAUAUGUGGUAAAGGUAUGAACACGUGAAAUUCCCUAGCUCAUGGUAAAGAUAUGUUCAGUGCGAUAAGGAAGAUAACAUUAGGCUGUCAGCUUAUUUUUGGUGAAGGUAUUCCAGGUUUAAAUAGUUGAGAUGAAAGAAGUCUUCCUUUAGUUUAUGUCUGGUUGUUAUUUCAGGUGAGAUGAAUGUAGCCUUCUUUAGUUCAUAAGCCAUCUCAGGUAGUUAUAUGUGAAAUGAAAGUAACCUUUCUUUAGUUCAUAAGUUAUUACAGGUAUUUAAAAGUGAGAUGGAGGUAGGAUGAAUAUGUGAAAUGGAGAAGGCUGCUCUAGCUUAUUUGUGGUAAAUAUAUGUUCAGUAUGGUAAGAAAGAUGAAAAUACAAGGCCGUAGCAGGGGGCACUCGGGGUACGUGCCCCCCUUCCCAAUAUAUAUAUAUAUAUAUAUAAGAAAAUGACAAGUAGGGGCGUGGCUGUGCCCCCACAGCUUUCUUGGUGUUUCUUCUGAAAAUAUUGAUAUAGUGAUAUAGCUCAAGCAGUCAAUUUGGGAAAGAAGUCUUGAAGGUUCAAAUAAAAAAAAUUAGGUUGGACGUUCCCAGCAGGAAGAAGUAUCCAGGUAUGAAUAAUAGACUAUGCAAGUGGGAUUUCCUUGGAAUAAGUUUGGUCACCCUGCUCUAAUACAGGCUUUCCAGGAAUGGGUAAGUGAGAAGGAAGUAUUAUGUCUUACUGAAAUGUUAUAUUAUGCCAAGGGAGAGGCGUCUUUUUAUCCUUCGUGUCCCUUAUCUCGAACACCCACGAGACUGCGAAUUUUAUCGGAACAACCUACCCCUCUUAUCGUAUACACUUGAAAGAAACAAGUGAGAAAACUUUAAAAUAACCACCCAUAAUUAAAUUCUAAUACAUUUUUGACGACAUAGGAUUAAGUGUCUCAGUUAAACUUCAAACUUCAACUAUAAAUUAUAUCAAAACAAUAUUUACAGUAGCACACUACCUGCAGAUGGCUAAAGCUGGUCGAGGCAGGUAGGUGAAGGACAGUACUGAUUAUUAUAGAGAAAAGGGGGAAAAACUAAUAUUAAAACAAUACUGGAUACAAAACAUAUGAUUAUAGAAAGAGGUACACUAUUUAAAGAAGAUCAAGAAUAAAGUAAUGAAUAAAUGAGCGAAUAAAUAAAUUAAGAUAAAGUUUACAGUUUACACAUGUCAUUAAUAAUCGUUUUUGUGUCAGCAUAACUAUCCUCUUUUUUGAAAAUGUCAAAUAAUAUUGAAUUCAUUUUUUCUUGAACAAUCCUUUUGGAAGAUAGAUCGACUAUUCCAAAUUCGAGCUCCUAUAGAGGAGAAUGAAUUUCUAUGGUGGUUUAAUCUAGACUGAGAGAUAAAGUAGCAUCCAGCAGUUACUCGCAUGAAUCAUUCGAUGGAAAUGGAUGCUUUACAUUUACUCGCUUAUCAGUCGAUGGAAAUGGAUGCUUUACAGUUACUCGCUUGAAUCAGUCGAUGGAAAUGGAUGCUUUACAGUUACUCGCAUGAAUCAGUCGAUGGAAAUGGAUGCUUUACAUUUACUCGCAUGAAUCCGUCGAUGGAAAUGGAUGCUUUACAUUUACUCGCUUGAAUCAGUCGAUGGAAAUGGAUGCUUUACAGCUACUCGCUUGAAUCAGUCGAUGGAAAUGAUGCUUUACAUUUACUCGCAUGAAUCAGUCGAUGGAAAUGGAUGCUAAACAGUGUAAAUCCACUGUUGAUUGGAAAUAGCUCGAAGUCAGUGAUGUGUACUUGUCAAUAAGAAAACAACAACAUUUUAUCGAGUAUGGUAGCUGUCACAAUCAAUGUCCUCGCUUCGCCUGGAGUGAUUUUUGAAUGCUGUAACACUACCGGCCAUUUAUCUUAUCAAAAUACUACGACGUGUUAAAAAGCAUCAAUUUCAAUUAGUUAGUUUGGCAAAGCUAUUGUGAUAUUUUCGAUAUGGAUAAAUGAAGCACCAAACUUGAAAAACUGCCAAUCAUUACUUUAAAACAACUGUUUUUAAAUGGUUACUUUACAUUAUUUCUUUACAUAAUUGAUCUUAUAUUAAAUAAGAACAAAAACAGGGGUGUCGACGACAAGGCUUUUUUUUCUUCGCUAUACUUGUUGAGCGAUAGGAAAGGGCGGUUUGACGUUACAGGGCGAGCGCUAUACUACUUCCUAACAUUUCUAGCCAAGUGCGGGAUUUCGAAAUUGUCUUCAGAUGUGAUCGGGACAGCGUCUAUAAGAGCAGUGGUGCGCCUAUGGAGAUAAGUCAGCGAGCAAGCAGACUUACUGUGACACGAGCAUUUUGUCAGUACUUCACUUGACGGAAAUUAAAAACUCUUGACAUACA